UUUAAUCAUAUUUAAAUAAAUUAAACAUUUAUUAUAGAAAUUCAGCCAUAAAUAAAUUGAGUAAAUACAUAAAACCCAAGAGCCGACAACUGGAGCCGAGAACAGGUCCGACCGACCCUCUUUCCCCUUUCCCUUGUUUAGGGGCAUAAGUUCUCUUGUUAUGGAAAUGCAAUUACCCAUCAGCGGGCGCUUAGCCACAGUUUCCAUGAAAAUUCAAUUGAAAACAAAUAAAAUUCUGAUUCAUCCACAAGCGGAAUGCUCUAUCGGUAUGGAGAUCUUCCAACUGUCCAAGAACUCAAUAACCUGUUGACCCUUGGCCCUGGAUCUGGAUAUGUGUUGCUGCCCCUUCCUGUACCACGUGUGGCUGUGUGUGUGGAGGUCGUGUAAAUUUGCAUGUUUACAUGGAAGUUUUACACGCGAAAUUGGCAACAAAUUUGGAAUCUUUUUUAGUCGGCCCAACAACAGCAGCAGCAGCAUCAGCAGCAGCCACAAAGUGUCGAAAGAUGUUGCCCCACUGCUGUGGCGACCACUGGUCUCUCAGGCCCAUGCCACGUCCACGCCCACGGCAGCUGCUUGCGGUUUGAGCACUAAACGGCUGCUCCUCGAGAGAAUAUAUCCACCCGCCAACCCACAACUGCGGCUGUAUCCCUGUGUAUCCCUUUAUAGAUGUGGCACCACUUGAAGUUUAUUUGUUUGCAGAGUUUUCGUUGAUUGUUAAUCGAAUUAGGACGAAAUGGACACAGGACGCACGGCCCACGAACGGCGAAGGACGCGCUUGCUCCUGACUUUAAUUAAAUUUAGGCAUUCAGCGUCCAUCGGCUCAGCCUCCAUUAUAUGCAUCUGUGUAUCUGUGCGGCAUGUGUGUCCGCGUGGCGAUAAAAACCGCAUGGGCCGCGACGGCAUAUGCCGCUCAUUAUGCAUCUGUGGAUCGUGUAAAUGAGCCAGCAGCCAGGAGGCGACUCCUGCUGCUUUCUGCCGCCCGUGAUGCUCCUCUGUCUCCCUGUGAAUCCUUGCUCUGUGCUGUGCCACCUCCCGCAGCCGCAAGCGCACUUUCGUUAAUUACGCAACAACAACAACAACAGCAACAACAUCAUCGACAGCAAGGGAGGGAUGCCUACAAAUCCUCUCCUCCGUUCGUUUGCUCGGCGGAUGCGUUGCAUCACUUUAUUGAACUUAAUUGCAUGCAAUAAACCCAUAGCGUGGAGCGUUCGUUCGAGGCGGCAUCCUCCUGGAUACCCGAUGAUGAGAGGAGCUAGCGAUGGCAGCGAUGGAAGCGUGACACGGC